rnacentral:pre_miRNA from 1 species
CAGGCAAUACAACAUUUAUAUAUCCACGACCACAUCAUGCGUAAUUUCCAGCGGCAAACGAAAACAUGCAGGAUGUAGUCGUGGAUAUAAAAAUGAUGUAUUGGGUG